CCUACGGGAGGCAGCAGUGAGGAAUAUUGGUCAAUGGACGAGAGUCUGAACCAGCCAAGUCGCGUGAAGGAUGACUGCCCUAUGGGUUGUAAACUUCUUUUAUAUGGGAAUAAACUGUUCCACGUGUGGGCUUUUGUAUGUACCAUAUGAAUAAGGAUCGGCUAACUCCGUGCCAGCCGCCGCGGUAAUACGGAGGAUCUGGGCGUUAUGCGGAUUUAUUGGGUUUAAAGGGAGCGUCGGUGGAUUGUUAAGUCAGUUGUGAAAGUGUGGGGCUCAACCUGAAAAUUGCAGUUGAAACGGGCAGUCUUGAGUACAGUAGAGGUGGGCGGAAUUCGUGGUGUAGCGGUGAAAUGCUUAGAUAUCACGAAGAAUUCCGAUUGCGAAGGCAGCUCACUGGACUGAAACUGACACUGAGGCUCGAAAGUGUGGGUAUCAAACAGGAUUAGAUACCCUUGUAGUC
rnacentral:rRNA from 1 species